AGGAAUAUUGGUCAAUGGACGAGAGUCUGAACCAGCCAAGUAGCGUGAAGGAUGACUGCCCUAUGGGUUGUAAACUUCUUUUAUACGGGAAUAAAGUGAGGCACGUGUGCCUUUUUGUAUGUACCGUAUGAAUAAGGAUCGGCUAACUCCGUGCCAGCAGCCGCGGUAAUACGGAGGAUCCGAGCGUUAUCCGGAUUUAUUGGGUUUAAAGGGAGCGUAGGCGGACGCUUAAGUCAGUUGUGAAAGUUUGCGGCUCAACCGUAAAAUUGCAGUUGAUACUGGGCGCCUUGAGUGCAGCAUAGGUAGGCGGAAUUCGUGGUGUAGCGGUGAAAUGCUUAGAUAUCACGAAGAACUCCGAUUGCGAAGGCAGCUUACUGGACUGUAACUGACGCUGAUGCUCGAAAGUGUGGGUAUCAAACAGGAUUAGAUACCCUGGUAGUCCACACAGUAAACGAUGAAUACUCGCUGUUGGCGAUACACAGUCAGCGGCCAAGCGAAAGCAUUAAGUAUUCCACCUGGGGAGUACGCCGGCAACGGUGAAACUCAAAGGAAUUGACGGGGGCCCACACAAGCGGAGGAACAUGUGGUUUAAUUCGAUGAUACGCGAGGAACCUUACCCGGGCUUAAAUUGCAGUGGAAUGUAGUGGAAACAUUACAGCCUUCGGGCCGCUGUGAAGGUGCUGCAUGGUUGUCGUCAGCUCGUGCCGUGAGGUGUCGGCUUAAGUGCCAUAACGAGCGCAACCCUUAUCUAUAGUUACUAUCAGGUCAUGCUGAGGACUCUAUGGAGACUGCCGUCGUAAGAUGUGAGGAAGGUGGGGAUGACGUCAAAUCAGCACGGCCCUUACGUCCGGGGCUACACACGUGUUACAAUGGGGGGUACAGAAGGCAGCUACCUGGCGACAGGAUGCUAAUCCCUAAAACCUCUCUCAGUUCGGAUUGGAGUCUGCAACCCGACUCCAUGAAGCUGGAUUCGCUAGUAAUCGCGCAUCAGCCACGGCGCGGUGAAUACGUUCCCG
rnacentral:rRNA from 1 species